UCGUGACGGCGGAGGGUGAGUAUCGCGUGGGACGUGCCCUUCUCUGCGGAAUAGCCUCUGGAAACGGAGAGUAAUACCGCAUACGCCCUUCGGGGGAAAGAUUUAUCGGAGAAGGAUCGGCCCGCGUUGGAUUAGGUAGUUGGUGCGGUAAUGGCGCACCAAGCCGACGAUCCAUAGCUGGUUUGAGAGGAUGAUCAGCCACACUGGGACUGAGACACGGCCCAGACUCCUACGGGAGGCAGCAGUAGGGAAUCUUGGACAAUGGGGGAAACCCUGAUCCAGCCAUGCCGCGUGAGUGAUGAAGGCCCUAGGGUUGUAAAGCUCUUUCGCCAGGGAAGAUAAUGACGGUACCUGGUAAAGAAACCCCGGCUAACUCCGUGCCAGCAGCCGCGGUAAUACGGAGGGGGUUAGCGUUGUUCGGAAUUACUGGGCGUAAAGCGCGCGUAGGCGGACUAUUAAGUCAGGGGUGAAAUCCCGGGGCUCAACCCCGGAACUGCCUUUGAUACUGGUAGUCUUGAGUUCGAGAGAGGUGAGUGGAAUUCCGAGUGUAGAGGUGAAAUUCGUAGAUAUUCGGAGGAACACCAGUGGCGAAGGCGGCUCACUGGCUCGAUACUGACGCUGAGGUGCGAAAGUGUGGGGAGCAAACAGGAUUAGAUACCCUGGUAGUCCACACCGUAAACGAUGAAUGCCAGACGUCGGGUAGCAUGCUAUUCGGUGUCACACCUAACGGAUUAAGCAUUCCGCCUGGGGAGUACGGUCGUAAGAUUAAAACUCAAAGGAAUUGA
rnacentral:rRNA from 1 species